rnacentral:lncRNA from 1 species
CUUUAUGUCUUUCUAGUUUCUGUAAAUUCACAUGUUAUAGUUAGAGGAGGAGCGAUGUGUUGGUCCAUUUUACCUUUUGCUGUGACCAGAUCAAGAAGAUAGCUGAACAAAAACUAUUAGCUACUCAAGAGGAGUUCACAUGUUCUUUAUAAAAAAUAAAAUAAAAAAAGAAAUUGCUACUAGAAUAUGUUUAUGAAGAGAGUAAAAAAUGUUCACAUGUUGCCUUCUAUUGACUUGCCUCCAUCGUCUUCUUUGUCACCAUUUGAUGUACUCUUAGCCCCAUGCCUCUUGGAUGCCUUUUUCCUCCUAUC